GACGAACGCUGGCGGCGUGCUUAACACAUGCAAGUCGAGCGGUAAGGCCCUUUCGGGGGUACACGAGCGGCGAACGGGUGAGUAACACGUGGGUGACCUGCCCUCAGCUCUGGGAUAAGCCUGGGAAACCGGGUCUAAUACCGGAUAUGACUCCAUGACGCAUGUUGUGGGGUGGAAAGCCUUGUGCGGCUGAGGAUGGGCCCGCGGCCUAUCAGCUUGUUGGUGGGGUGAUGGCCUACCAAGGCGACGACGGGUAGCCGGCCUGAGAGGGCGACCGGCCACACUGGGACUGAGACACGGCCCAGACUCCUACGGGAGGGCAGCAGUGGGGAAUCUUGCGCAAUGGGCGAAAGCCUGACGCAGCGACGCCG
rnacentral:rRNA from 1 species